AUGGUGGCGCGCCGGAGAGUGCUUGUCGGUCGUCUGUGGUCGUUGAUGGUUAAGCAUUUGAAGAUUAUAUGUCGUUUUGGAUUUUUAGCAACAAUAAGUGGUUUUGGGAGCAAAAUGGAUAACAAAUAUUUUUGGACAGCAAAGAUGGAUAACAAGUAUUUUUGGACAGCAAAGAUGGAUAACAAGUAUUUUUGGACAGCAAAGAUGGAUAACAAGUAUUUGGGACAGCAAGCGAUAAAUUGGUAUUACGCGACGGAAGAACAACUCAACUCAAAUACAAUACAACAAAGAAAAGAAUGA